UCCGGUUUGACACCGGCAGUCCCCUUAGAGUCCUCGGCAUAACCCGUUAGUAACUAAGGGCAAAGGUUUCGCUCGUUAAGGGACUUAACCCGACAUCUCACGACACGAGCUGACGACAGCCAUGCAGCACCUGUGCUAGUUCCACCCCGAAGGGCGUACCCUGCUUUCACAGGGAUAAUCCUAGCAUGUCAAGCCCAGGUAAGGUUCUGCGCGUUGCUUCGAAUUGAACCACAUGCUCCACCGCUUGUGUGAGCCCCCGUCAAUUCCUUUGAGUUUUAGCCUUGCGACCGUACUUCCCAGGCGGUCCACUUAGCACUUUUGCUUCGACCCUAACCCCGUCAGAGGGACUAGGAUCUAGUGGACAUCGUUUAGGGCCAGGACUA
rnacentral:misc_RNA from 1 species